ACAAGGAUUCCCUUAGUAACG
rnacentral:snRNA from 1 species